CCUACGGGUUGCACCAGUGGGGAAUAUUGCACAAUGGGCGCAAGCCUGAUGCAGCCAUGCCGCGUGUGUGAAGAAGGACUUCGGGUUGUAAAGCACUUUCAGCGGGGAGGAAGGCGAUAAGGUUAAUAACCUUGUCGAUUGACGUUACCCGCAGAAGAAGCACCGGCUAACUCCGUGCCAGCAGCCGCGGUAAUACGGAGGGUGCAAGCGCUAAUCGGAAUUACUGGGCGUAAAGCGCACGCAGGCGGUCUGUCAAGUCGGAUGUGAAAUCCCCGGGCUCAACCUGGGAACUGCAUUCGAGACUGGCAGGCUAGAGUCUUGUAGAGGGGGGUAGAAUUCCAGGUGUAGCGGUGAAAUGCGUAGAGAUCUGGAGGAAUACCGGUGGCGAAGGCGGCCCCCUGGACAAAGACUGACGCUCAGGUGCGAAAGCGUGGGGAGCAAACAGGAUUAGAUACCUCCGUAGUC
rnacentral:rRNA from 1 species